UCUGUUUUUGUUUUAUGUCUUUUUUUUGUUCGUGUAUUGCUAUUGUUGUUGUUGUUUUCCUUUUUCUCUGCUUGUGUAUGUGUGCGCUUUUGGUCUGAAACUCCGAAUAAAAUUGUAGGUAUAUUACCUUAGUAUGCCAAACGUUCUUACUUCAGUCUUCGUACAGUCUUUGCUUUAACCCGUUCCAAAUUCUGUCCGCCGUUUGCUCUAUAUUAUACAACAACAAAAAUAAUAAUAAAAUAUAACAAAAAAUAUUAACACAGUUAAAUUUUUUUAUAAAAUCCAAAUAACAACAACUAACUACUCUUUUUUAAACAAAAAUACAACAACAAUAAAAUAAAAAUCUCAAAAAUUUUGUUUUUGUUUUUUUCAAACGAGAAUUGUUGAUUUAAAAACAACUGAAAGAAUCUCUCUUUUUUUUUCACUACAACAUCAUUAUUAAGCAACAGCUACAAUUAUCAUUAAUAUAACAUUCACAUAAUCAUCAUUACAAUUUACUACCACUGCUAACACUCUCUAACACAACUUUGUACCACGAGUUGUAAGUAAAAGAAGCCAACAGCAGCGCAGAGCAACAUUAAGCAGAGGAAGCAGCAGAGCAGCAUAUUUUAGCUCUUGUGUGUUUUUUGCGCGUGUUUUUGUAUGUUCAUUUCAUUCGGUAUUUGUGCCUGUGUUUCUAUUUCCCUGCAACUCUACUCUACUCUACAACACUCUCUACUAACUGCUCGGUGAAUUUUCAAAAAAAAAAAAAAGCAACAGCUACAACAACUCAAAAAGUACCACCAUCGUUUUUCAAUAACGUUGAAAAAUCAAAGUUGAGCUUAGAGGUUCAAUUCGUAAACGUCAGUAAUACCAGCAACAUCGUUCUUAAACGUUGUACCUUGUACGUUCUUCAUCCAUACACACGUUCGUUUAUGGUUUAAACGCUUUUAACGCAAUAGUUAACGUUGGUCUCUCACGCAAUAACAACCAUCAUUCUCUACGUUUUAUUCAAACAAAUAAUAAUACAAUUUUUAACAAAAAAUAUCUUAAAAUCUUUUAAAGAUAAUAAUCAAAUAAAACGGAAAAUAUAAAAUAAUAAAAAGUUUUAACAAAGUUUUAAAAAAUAAUUCAAAAAUAAAAUUUCAUUUUAAAGUAAUGAAAUUUUUGUAAAAAUUAUAAAAAUACUUCUUGAAAAGUAAAAAAAAAAAACGCGGUUUACAAAAUUUCCUAACUUUAAACUCUUAAACCGAACUUCUUCAUUUAGUGCUUAAUUAAAACAGUGUCUAAUUUUAAAAGAAAUAACUUUAAAAAUAAUAAACAAAUAAACUCCAAUCUACAAGUUUUCUAUAUUUCCAAGCAAAAAUUUUGUAAAAAAAAAAACCUCUGUUUGUUUCUAAACGUCUAACUACCAAACUUUUACUUCUAAAAAACCCUAAAAAAAUUAAUCAAAAUAUCACAAUCAAAAUAGUGUUAAACCAAUAAAUAUUUAAAAAAAAAAACCCUGUGCAAUAUAUAAAAAAAAUCAAAAUAUUUUUCUAAAGAAAAAAUAUAUAUAAAAGUGUAAAAUCUGUUUAGCAACAAGUUAUUUGAUUAAUCAAACGUUGAGCGCCAAAACUGCAAAAGAAAAGUUUGAAAUUCAUUCAUCAGAUUUUAAAUAAAACUCUCAUUUUACAUACUUUUCAUCACAAAACUUUUUGACUACACUAAUUGUAAUAAAACAAACAGCUACUAAGAAUAAACAACUGUUCAAUAUACAUGUGGUAUCCUUUCUAAGAAAAAAUCCCUGCAAAACAAUCCUUAAAAUUUACACUCCUUCUUAAACUCCUGAAAAAAAAAACGAUUUUAAAAAAUUUUGAAACAAAUUGUUGCAAAUUAACAAAUUAACAGUAUUAAUUUUUUACAUAUCAAAAGAGCAAAAAAAAAGCUAAAUAAUAUAAUAGAAAAAGGAGCUUAGCAUUUGAUUAAGGAAAAUAUAUUUGAAAUUAU